AUGAACGCUGGCGGCGUGCUUAACACAUGCAAGUCGAGCGGAGGAUUCGAGGUGUUUACAUCAAAGGAUCCUUAGCGGCGGACGGGUGAGUAACACGUGGGUAACCUGCCUCAGAGUGGGGGAUAGCCUUUCGAAAGGAAGAUUAAUACCGCAUAAGAUUGUAGCGUCACAUGGCGCAGCAAGAAAAGGAGCAAUCCGCUUUGAGAUGGACCCGCGGCGCAUUAGCUAGUUGGUGAGGUAACGGCUCACCAAGGCCACGAUGCGUAGCCGACCUGAGAGGGUGAUCGGCCACAUUGGAACUGAGACACGGUCCAGACUCCUACGGGAGGCAGCAGUGGGGAAUAUUGCACAAUGGGCGAAAGCCUGAUGCAGCAACGCCGCGUGAGUGAUGAA
rnacentral:rRNA from 1 species